UACGUAGGGUGCGAGCGUUGUCCGGAAUUAUUGGGCGUAAAGGGCUCGUAGGCGGUUUGUCGCGUCGGGAGUGAAAACAUCUGGCUUAACUGGGUGCUUGCUUUCGAUACGGGCAGACUAGAGGUAUGCAGGGGAGAACGGAAUUCCUGGUGUAGCGGUGAAAUGCGCAGAUAUCAGGAGGAACACCGGUGGCGAAGGCGGUUGCCUGGAGCUUUGCUGACGCUGAGGCGCGAAAGCGUGGGGAGCGAUCCGG
rnacentral:rRNA from 1 species